rnacentral:rRNA from 1 species
GGUUAAGUGACUAAGCGUACACGGUGGAUGCCCUGGCAGUCAGAGGCGAUGAAGGACGUGCUAAUCUGCGAAAAGCGUCGGUAAGGUGAUAUGAACCGUUACAGCCGGCGAUGUCCGAAUGGGGAAACCCAGUGCAAUUCGUUGCACUAUCGUUAACUGAAUACAUAGGUUAACGAGGCGAACCGGGGGAACUGAAACAUCUAAGUACCCCGAGGAAAAGAAAUCAACCGAGAUUCCCCCAGUAGCGGCGAGCGAACGGGGAGCAGCCCAG